GCAGCGAGGACCAAACUUCCCAGGCGCGACCGCAGUUGGGAGGAGCUGCCGGCCCCGCCCGCAGAGCGUGGGGUGGGGCUGCUCCCUCCACGCCCAUCACGUGGCCUUGUCCCCAAACAGCUCCCGGAGGCGCGCGGCUACCGCCGCCUCACGGGUCGGGGGACUCGCGCCGGAGUUGUGUCCGCUGGCUCAGUGCAGCCCUAGCCACCGCCUCCCCGCUCCGCGGCCGGCUCCCUGCGAGGCGCUGUUCUCCUGGGCUCAGCGGCAGGGGGCUGACCCUCUCCUCCCCCGCCCUCAGCCUGGCACCAGCUUGCCAGGGAAUGGACUGUAAACCCGGGUCUGUAACCUGUGCUGACUGGGCAGCCGCUGGGACAACGGCCACCGCCAAGUACUGGACGCUGCUGUGCGGGUUUGCAGGCGGCUCUGCCAAUGGAAACCACUUAACGCCUUUAAAUGUAGCCGCUGCAGAGGUUUUCUUCUGUAACUGGCAGCUCUAGGGCUCCUGCUGCUGUAACAAGCUUUGGGGACGGGGCUGGGAUGGGUUUCAGCCCCUUCAGCUGUUGCCUUGUAUUCUCCUCUCUUCCUUCACCUCAGCUCCUGCUCUACACGCUUUCUUCGGGUACAUGUCUCCUCUAGUCCAGUGAAUGUAGUGAUUCUGAAAAAUUCCAAGUACUGCAGCCUGAAGUACUCUCUUUAUAGAUAAUUUAUAACACAGCAGCACUUCUAGUUUCUUCAUCUGUAUUCUGCAGGGAUCACCUCUAUAGAUAUUUAUAUAAAACCCCAGAUAUGCAGUGAUGGGCAGCGUGUAUAUGAGUGGAGAGCAUAACCUAGAAGGUUCAAUCCUGUUAAAAUCAGUGGCAGUGCUUCCAGUGACUACAGCAGGAACAUGUACAACUUAGCGUUUAGGGACCCCAAUCAAGGAUCAGCCUCUCAUUGUGCUACGUGCUGUACAGAUUUGUAGUGAAAAGGCAACACAGAGGAAGCUGAUGAAAGAGAUGGUGACAGCAUUUUGUCUGGCGAUGAUGAUGGCAGUGAUGAUACCACUACUGCAAGUGAAGAAAAAAGAAUUGAUUUUUGUCUUGCCUAGAUGAAUUAGGAUGUGAAAUAGUAAGGAGCAAGAUGAUAGUGAAAGUACCUCUGGUGUUCACCAAAGGCAAGGAUGGCUGCCCAUCUUCAUCAACUGCCACAGAUGAUUCUUUGGUCUGAAACAAAUGUUUAAUUUUAUUUAAUUUUAAAAUGCUUUUAGGUUAAUCAUGUCCCUAAAAAUGAGGUGGGCUCCUAACGAAUCCACAAGUCACUAUGAUUUUUGAACCUAGGACUAGAUUGGAUUCUUUUUGGAAACCAUCAGUGCUGUUUCUUAAAGUGUUGUUAAGGUUGUUAAGUGAUGAAAAAUGGCACCAUUUUAGUAUCCUGAUUAGCUCCCUAUGCAAAUUCAAAGUUAAAUCUGUUUAUUUUUCUGACAAAAAUAAGUUAUUUUUUACUCUGAUUAGCUAAGUUUGUAGUAUUAUGUGAGGGUGAACUGUAUUCUAUUCUAGAUCAUGCAUAAGCCAGAGAAUUGUUAUCUAAAUUUUGGUGGUGAAUAUUGGUUUCUGGUGGUGAUGCAUGAGCCAGAAGAAUACAAUUUGACUCUCAUCCCAAGACAGGUUUGUGGUUUUGGCUGUUUCAAAAUUCUGUAAUCAGAAAAAAUAUAAUAUAGAAUCAUAGAGAAGAAAUGCCACUUCUUAAUUAUUUUUCAGAGUAUAACAGCCCUUUCAAUAUCAGUACAAAUGUAUUAUGUUAAACAUGAUUGUAAUAAUCCUUGUCUCCUCAUGGAUAUUGUUACUAUUGUUACUAUGCUGCAUCAGAACUCUCAUUCACAACAUAUAGCUCUCAGAAUUCCCAGUAAGGUAUAGGAGAAACUUCACUAGCUCAACCAGUAGAGGGAACUGGGUGGGGGGAAAUCUGAUAUACUGCAUCCAUUAGCAGACAAGGAUGUACAUACAAGCCAGUUGGUUAUUAAAAUAAAUGAAUCAUUUUUAUACCGGAACUAAUGGUUGAGAAAGCUUGCUUUCUCUCACAGAUGUUCCAUGGCUGUCUGAUGAAAC